rnacentral:rRNA from 1 species
UACGAAGGGUGCAAGCGUUACUCGGAAUUACUGGGCGUAAAGCGUGCGUAGGUGGUGAGUUAAGUCUGAUGUGAAAUCCCGCAGCUUAACUGCGGAACUGCAUUGGAAACUAUUUGACUAGAGGAAUGGAGGGGAGACUGGAAUACUUGGUGUAGCAGUGAAAUGCGUAGAUAUCAAGUGGAACACCAGUGGCGAAGGCGAGUCUCUGGACAUUUCCUGACGCUGAGGCACGAAAGCCAGGGGAGCAAACGGG